AGCACAUAAUCAAUAAUCAUCCAAAACAUAAGUUCAGUGGGAUAUCUUCUAAAUUUUAUACAGAAGCUAUCUUGGAUUAAAACUUUUUUAUUUUUUUUUUUAAUUUUUAUUUUUUUCCCUUAUAUUAGUAAUUUGCAAGAAAAUUCUGAUGGAAAUAAAGCUUCCCAUGCUGACAAAAAUGAAUAAAAAUUCAUGACCAUACACCAUAAAAAUAAGCUUCAUAUUUUAAGUAAAUUUGAAACGAUGGAGGGAACAUACCUGCAGGCAGCAUGGAGCUUGGAGCAGGAAGAUGUUUUCUAAAACAAUACAAUUAUUUUUAAAUGGCAAGCCUUUUUUUCUCCAGAGAUGUGAAAGUUGUUGUACUUGGAUUAAGGAUAGAUGUGAUACAUUUUGGAGAAGAUUUGUUAUUUGGGAGAUUUCUCCUACAGUUUUCUUUCAUCUCAGCAAGACACACAGCAAUGCUCUGCUGGAAAGCUUUAUCAAGGAAGGACAUGGGUGUAAGAAAGAAGCCAAAGAAGAAACAAGAAGGAUUUUUCUGAACUCCAGCAGAUUGUCUUUGCUGCCAGAUUUUGCUGGUUUUUCUGCAGAGACUUUUAAAAGCCAAGCUUCUCUGCAUAACUGAUGAAGAAAGUAUUGCAAUUUAAUGAACGUUUUAUAAAGAAAUAUAGGUCAUUAACAAGUUACCAUGCUGACUCUGGCUUCUUCCCUUUGCUUUUUAAUGGUGGAUCAUCU
rnacentral:lncRNA from 1 species